AAUGUUUUCCCCAAAUGAAUCUUCAUAAUCAGGGUUUUAUGUUAAAUGCACUAUAUGAGUUACUUUUUCAAAAGACUCCUGCUGUAAAACAAGUAAAUGAUUUUGUUCCUGAAAAUGAAUAAUCAUCCUGAUUUACCUAUCAUGUGGUAUAUCUGUUGGAGUCAAAGAUGUAUUUGUCUUGGGCCAGAAAGAAUUCAGGUUUUAAUUUCAGAUCAACAUCAGCUAUGUUGCCUCGGACAUAGGCCUUACCACCUCCUGACUUGUCCUCCAGCCAAAGAGAAAGUUCUUGAGUCAUCCGAACGACACUUCUUCUACGUCUAUGCCCCACAAGUCACUGGUGUGGCUCCACGUCCCAAGUGUUCUCUUCGAGAUCAUGAUGAUGCUGUCACUGCAAAGUCCAGAGACUUCUCAAUCUGCAGCUGCUUCUCUGAGUCAUUCACUAGCAGAACCACCACCUCCUUCUGGAAACUCUCCUGCCUCGGCAUCUGCAAUGAUUCUCUCCUGAUUCUCCUCCUUUCCCUCCAAUAACUUUCUCUGUCUUUUUGGCCGGUUCUUUUUUUCUCUGCCUCAUCGUUAAAUGUGAAAGAUUAAAGAGCCUCCCCACCCUUCUUUCCCUCCUUAAAUUUUAUUAUUUGAAUGGGCAUUUUCAUAAUUUAAUUAGAACUGUUUCAUUAAAAUAAGA